GCCCGGUUAGCACAGUAGGGAGUAUUCGCCCUGUAAGCGAGGUGUCCCGGGUUCGAGUCCCGGACUGGAUG
rnacentral:tRNA from 1 species